rnacentral:rRNA from 1 species
GAUGAACGCUGGUGGCGUGCCUAAUACAUGCAAGUAGAACGCUGAAGCUUGGUGCUUGCACCGAGCGGAUGAGUUGCGAACGGGUGAGUAACGCGUAGGUAACCUGCCUCUUAGCGGGGGAUAACUAUUGGAAACGAUAGCUAAUACCGCAUAAAAGUCGAUAUCGCAUGAUAUUGAUUUGAAAGGUGCAAAUGCAUCACUAAGAGAUGGACCUGCGUUGUAUUAGCUAGUUGGUGAGGUAACGGCUCACCAAGGCGACGAUACAUAGCCGACCUGAGAGGGUGAUCGGCCACACUGGGACUGAGACACGGCCCAGACUCCUACGGGAGGCAGCAGUAGGGAAUCUUCGGCAAUGGGGGCAACCCUGACCGAGCAACGCCGCGUGAGUGAAGAAGGUUUUCGGAUCGUAAAGCUCUGUUGUAAGAGAAGAACGAGUGUGAGAGUGGAAAGUUCACACUGUGACGGUAACUUACCAGAAAGGGACGGCUAACUACGUG